rnacentral:rRNA from 1 species
UGGGGAAUAUUGCACAAUGGGCGAAAGCCUGAUGCAGCGACGCCGCGUGAGGGAUGACGGCCUUCGGGUUGUAAACCUCUUUCAGUAGGGACGAAGCGCAAGUGACGGUACCUGCAGAAGAAGCACCGGCUAACUACGUGCCAGCAGCCGCGGUAAUACGUAGGGUGCGAGCGUUGUCCGUAAUUACUGGGCGUAAAGAGCUCGUAGGCGGUUUGUCACGUCGUCUGUGAAAUCCUAGGGCUUAACCCUGGACGUGCAGGCGAUACGGGCUGACUUGAGUACUACAGGAGAGACUGGAAUUUCUGGUGUAGCGGUGGAAUGCACAGAUAUCAGGAAGAACACCGAUGGCGAAGGCAGGUCUCUGGGUAGUAACUGACGCUGAGGAGCGAAAGCAUGGGUAGCGAACAGG